rnacentral:rRNA from 1 species
GCGGUAAUUCCAGCUCCAAUAGCGUAUAUUUAAGUUGNNNNNNUUAAAAAGCUCGUAGUUGGAUUUCGGGUGGGUUCUAGCGGUCCGCCUAUGGUGAGUACUGCUAUGGCCCUCCUUUCUGCCGGGGACGAGUUGCUGGGCUUCACUGUCCGGUGCUUGGAGUCGGCGUUGUUACUUUGAGUAAAUUAGAGUGUUCAAAGCAGGCAUACGCCCUGAAUACUUUAGCAUGGAAUAACACGAUAGGACUCUGGCCUAUCUUGUUGGUCUGUAGGACCGGAGUAAUGAUUAAGAGGGACAGUCGGGGGCAUUCGUAUUUCAUUGUCAGAGGUGAAAUUCUUGGAUUUAUGAAAGACGAACUACUGCGAAAGCAUUUGCCAAGGAUGUUUUCAUUAAUCAAGAACGAAAGUUGGGGGCUCGAAGACGAUUAGAUACCGUCGUAGUCUCAACCAUAAACGAUGCCGACUAGGGAUUGGCGGAUGUUUUUUUGAUGACUCCGCCAGCACCUUAUGAGAAAUCAAAGUUUUUGGGUUCCGGGGGGAGUAUGGUCGCAAGGCUGAAACUUAAAGGAAUUGACGGAAGGGCUACUGCCGAG